rnacentral:sRNA from 1 species
CAUUAUCGUGUGACUACAACGAUCUUAUCGCCUGCAAAGAUCGCCUUCGGGUGGCGAGCAAAAACUCUCGUAGCCUGAAAGGGAGAGCAAGAAUUGUGGUACAUCUGCGCACUUUUGGAAGCAGAUAUUGCCGGACACAUAACCCACCGUCCGGCGAUGAAGGUUUAC